GAUACAGGUAAGCCAUGUGGUGUGGGAAGUGGCUGAGAACUUCCAGUUGGUGAAGCCCAUAGGCCAGCCAAAGGGCACCACCAAGGAACACUGGUGUUUUUUUGAAGGUAAGGCCAAUUCUGAUGAAUUUUGAAUCCGCAAGGCUUGUGUAAGGGAGUACCUGAUUGAGGAGAACUCCUUCGUCAAGGGUGUGAAGACCCCGUGAUUGGCGCUGGACUUAUGGAGCAUGCUCACUGAUAAGAGGGGCAUGCAUCUGGAGGAAGUGAACCCUGAUGAGCCCCACUGGGGAGGGGAUGAUAAGUGUCAGUGACUGGGUGAGUGACCAGUCAAGAGACUUGGCUAUACUGAAAAGACCACGGUAUUGGCCUGGCUGGCAGGUGUGAUGAAGGUGGGGGAGGGGAUGUAGAGCCUUGUGAAGAGGACACGCUCCCUGUUGAGAGCAUGCUAUUUCCUUUUUGUUCCAACACAGCUUCCCUUUAUUUAUUUUACAUUAAAGUGUGGUGGGUGAGCAGAAGGACGUGGGCAAUGGCUCUCAGGAAGAGCUACAGGGCAUGUUGCAUCUGCUGACAUUAGUAUUCUGGAUGUGCAUCUACAGAAGUAUUUUAAAAAUGCACAUCUACAGCCCUGAUCCUCCCCACAUUUAUGUGACCACAUGGAGCUGAUCUCUGACAAUCUCCAACCCCUGUGGGGAAGUAAUAUUUAAAAACUAUAUAUUCAGAGUAAAUGCUGAUUCUAUAAUAUAGCUGUAGGCAUAUGGAGGAGCAAGAGAAAAUCAUUUGUGCCUGGGUGACAAGAGUGGUGCUCUGUUGAAAAUCAGAACGUUUUCUGUCAGCCGGACUUUAGAGCAGUGGUUUUCAACUUGUGGUCUGUGGAUCUUGGGUCUGCAGACUGUCUAAGGGGUUCAUGAGAAAUGACUAUGAUCAAUCAAAAGUAUAUGAAUACCUACAUUUACAGUUCAAAGGGGUUUGCACCUCCACUCAAAAUUUUUUAGGGAUCUACAAAUGAAAAAAGGUUGAAAAUCACUGCUUUAGAGUACUUGGGUAGCAAAAUGUGUCAGAAUAUAGCCGUUGAUCCUGGGCAAUACUCAUGUACUGUGAGUUUAGUCCCUGUCCCUUACAGCUUUCUGGAAAUGUGUAUUGUACAGAGGAACUUUUAAAUGUUUUGCCAUAAGAAGAAAGCAUUUUGAGUAAAUGUUGUUAUUUCAAAGUAGUCUAAAAUCCACAGGUAUAUUCAGAUUUUGCCACAGAGGUAUUGUCAAGGAAAGUGCCAACAAUUAAAUGGAGGAAAGAUAAAAGUGGCAGCUUCAGAAUGUGAUUAUGCUAUAGGUUCCUCAUGUGUUUCUUGAAUAAUGGGACUGAGAGUGAUCAAAGAAAAGCAAGUAGCUUCAACUUGUAUCAGAGUCCAUAUGAUCAAAAGGGUUGUGUCAGAUAAGUGCACCUAUAUUAAACCACUUUUCUAGCUCUGGUUAAUGUGGCAACACAAUAUUUUCAUCAGUCAAAACAGGUUUAUCAUUAAAUAAAAAUGUAGAAAACAAUGUUUCUAAAAUACUAAGGACUGCUUUCUAAAAUAUUUCAUUCAAUCUACAUAACUAGGGGUUCACACCAGUCACCCCUAAAAGUUCUGUAGCAUCUUGGGUUACAAUGGAAAUGUCAAAUACUAGAAAAAAUCAGUCUCAAUCACACUAAACCUCCAAUAACAUCCCCCCCCAAAUGCUUCAGAAAAAAUCAAAUGUUGCACAAAACAAAUCAAAACACAACAAAAAAGUUUAAAAAUCACUGAUUUGUUUUCCAUAUUAAAAGGGAAAUUCUGGAGUAAUUUUAUCUGUGAUGGGGUGGCAUUACCACUUCACCACAGUAAAGCCAGGGGUAUAGUUAGCAGUGGAAAGCACAAUUUGAUCUUUAAGAAGCAAGGAGAAUUCGAAGUACAUGCAGAUGAACGAAAGAACACUGUUGUGCUCAUCCAAAUGCACCCAAAAAAGGUAACUCGGCAAGAGUGCUGCUAUGCUGGCUAGCACUGAAUAUAUUUUGAACAUGAAGUACGCCUAAGAAUUAGUUGCCAUCAACAGAUUCAACAGACAAAAAGGCUAACAUUUCUAUGUGUACAUUCAAAUAUCUCAUAAACACCAUUCUGUGGGACACAGCAGAAUACAUAAAAAUAGCACAUGUUCAGCAUUCCUUUCAUAUCUUUUGAUGAAGUGAGCUUGGGCUCUUAAAGCUUAUGUUAUACAUCUCUUGAUUUAGUCAGUCUAUAAGGUACAAAUCUACCUUGUCUUCUGCAUAUUAGGGAGGCCAUGGCUGAAACAUCCUUUGGUUGUUUUCUCCAGUAGCUCUUGCCUGGAAGCAGAGUUAAGUGUGUGGGAUGAAGCUGGCUUCCUAACUCCUUAUUUCCUGGUUUUCAGACAUUUAUAAUAAAAUGUAAGUGUAUGCUGCACUGUGGACAGUGAUGUGAGGCUCCUGGUCGCUCUUAACUCUGCUUUAACAAAGUUUUUGAGCAGUGAAAAUGAGUCAAAUUAAUCUGCAGCAUGAAUCCAUCGACUUCAAAGAAUGCAUUUGUUCCCAGUACAUGGAGGGCCUGAUUUUCCUCCAAAUUUCACCUUGUCUUGUUUCCAUAGGGGGGUGUGUGUGUGUGUGUGUGUGUGUGUGUGUAAAAUCAAACCAUUACUGUGACUGGGGAAUUCUGAUUAUUUACUUUGAUUUCAGCAGAUGUAGACGGGUAUAAAGUAUCAGAAUCAGGCCCACUCUGUUUACAUGGGCUGACUGCUAAGUAGAGCCCAGUGCACGGUACAUUUAUACAUCUUGUACUUAGCUCACCCUAGUGCAAGUAAGGGGGAAUGCAUUUAAGAUCCCCCUGCACCUGUGGAGGCAGCUGUGCUAGCAGUUUUGUUUCCUCUCUGGAGAAAGCAAAUGGCAGUAUUGGAAUACCAUCAGAAAAGGCAAACUACAGUUUAUAGCUUGGGUUCCAUAUGAGUCCUAUUAGCAGAAGGUGUUCACCCAGCCAGCCCUUCCCACUUUUGGCCUGCAUUGAUGCAGUAAAACUUGUGUUUUUAUUUUUUCCUACCAUCUCUACCAUACAGCUGUCCCACAGAAUAGAUUCUGAUAGUGGUUACAACUGUCUCAGCCCAUCUGGCACAUGGACUUUCUACCAGAGGGAGGACUACAUCCUGGAUUCUCCACUUAAUUCCUGGAAGAAGCAAGGACAUGAAUGAUGCUCUUUAUCUGAAAGACUUGGGGAGAAGUUAACAAGUUUGGAGAGAAGUCUGAAAUCUUUUCUCAUAACUGGAAUGGCUGAGAAUCGCAGUUCUUCUGGGAAACUCAUAUGUGGAUAUCAAUAGAGGAUUGAAAACACUUUGAUGCUACACAAGUUGGGCACACAAGGAAGGAGCAUGAUCUGAGGAUAACGCAAAACAGAAAAUAUAUUGUGUGUCAAACCAAUAUCCCAGAUCCUAACACUCAUAGAUGCCUGGGAAAACAGUGCUCAUAAUAUAGAUCUGCAUUGAAAUUUUGCACCUUGACUUCAUCAGCAAAGGCUUCUGCCUGCAUGAUGUCUGGCUUGCAGGUAAAGACACCCAGUCCACCCUAGUGAACCAACAACCCUGACAGAGUGCAGAAGUAGGCUGCAUGUAUCUUCUGAUGGAACUGGCAGAGAAAAUCGGACACUGGGACAAACAGCCAUAAAUCAGGACUGUCCCGAUUAAAUCAGGCAUGGCUGGCAAUGUCUGUUUCCUGCAAAUAUCUGCCAUCUACAAUAUUGACUGGUUUAUCAGGCAGCAGGUAUCUCUAUCAGUCUAUCUCGAAUUGUCAUCCAACAGAAGAUUAAAUGCUGCCUGCCUCCUUCUUGUGAUUUUUUCAGUCUUCACAUCACAAAGUUUUCAAUCAAAUUUCAGCAGUGUACAUUUAGCUCAGAGAACUCACGGUACUUAUCUUCCUAAAGCAGCUCUCUCCACAACCAGGCUACUAGCCAAACAACAACAACAACAAAGAUCCUGAAUAACAGACAAGUGCCAGUUUUCAGAAGAGUUAUAUCAGUGCAGCAACCUUGCAUUGUUAGUUUUUAAAAUGAAAAGCAACAUAACCAUAUACAGCAUUGUUCUAAAGAGCUUCCUCAUUAAUAAUCUUUUGAAUGCACUUAUCACAGUUGCGGUUUCAGCUCAUGAAUCAGCUCAGGCAUGAGGAGGAUGUCAGCUGUGCACAUUUCUUGCUUUACAUCAGAUACCUGAGGAAGCUGUGGUCUGUUAGGUAUCCUGGAAAAUAAACUACAGCUCCAUUUGUAAGGAAUUCAGUAUGAACAAGCUGACAUUAAAAAAAGGACUUCUUUGCCAAUUAACAUAUUUUCCACAUGGGGUUUUGAUAAACAGACUAACUAGAUUCUGAAGAAACAUAAACUCGAAGAUAGAGAAUUCGGAAAGGUUAAUUCCAGUGAUCACAAAGCCAGGGUGGAAUUGUUGUCUUGUGUUCUAUAUAAAAUAAUAAUAGUAUAAAUAGAAGUAAAAUGACUUUCCCAAGGACCUGUGAUAGGUGACUGGUGGAGAAUCAGGAAUUGUUAACUAAUUCUCUAACCUACAGAGAUUUUAGUCUGCCCUGGCUUCAGUCAGUGUUAAGACCAGGCAUGAGAUCCUUAUACUUAAUCCACCCCUGUGUGGGAGAAAAGGCUUGGUAUGAUGUAAAAGGGCCUUAAAAGCUGUAGUGGUAGCUAGGGAGAAGUCUCACACUGCAGGCAUUGUGGAGAAUGGCUGCAGGCAGAUUUCUAGGGAUGCUUUAGCAGCUAUAGAGGAGAACCUGGUGGAGUGAAGCUGCUGUAUCCUUUGCUGCAGAGACCCCAAACAGCACUGUCAUGUAGAAACUGCCCUUAGUAUGACUACUGGGACUGUUUAAGAUGCCAUUGUCUUCCCAGACUGGCUGGGAGCUAGUCCAGCCCUCAACUGCAGCAUAUGACUGGCAAUCCAAAAAUCCAAGAGAAAUGUCUAGCAGCUUGAAGGAAAGUGGAUUCAGGGCUGCCAUCUUUGUUCACCCACACCUUCUGAGCCAGGCAUUUGGUUACAGGAGCUCUGUAAUGCCAGAGAAUUUCCAUCUAGCAAAGGAAAUCAUCAAAAGGCAGGAUUCACUAGUUUUAAUCUACUAUAUACUGCCAGUGUGGCACAAAGGAGAGUUAAGUGACAUGAGAAUUGGCCCACCUGUUUGCUCAUGAAUGCCUGUGGCUCUCAUUUAGUGUUAAUGAAAUCAAUGUGAACACAUCAAAGGGAAAAAUAUGCUGAGAAGUAAAAAUCAGUGACUGGCCAUUGUUAAAUCAGCCAAGUUGACUAUGUGAACCUAAUUUUCCUCCUGUAUAUGCAAACUGAAAAGUAAAUUGAAGUGCUAGGUGUGAAACAAUCGCUUUGCUGCUGGACAUGGAAAAAAUUAUUACUUUGUUUCUAUUACUUCUGUCCCUCUGUGUCAGAUUUUCCCUUCCACUUCCAUAAGUGAAGCUCAGUAAAAAAGCAGUGCCCUACUUGGGGGGAGAGGGAAAGGUUGUGGCAUACAGCCUCUUUCACUCCAGCCUUAAAGAACCUCUCCUAUGAGCCCUGUGCAGUGCUAAGAGCCUGUAGGAGAAGGGGUAAGUAAGAGGUUGAUGGCAUACCAUUCUCCAUAACAUUGUUGUCUUCAGCUCUCUAGAGGGUCCCAGGUAUGAGUUAAUGUAUUAACUUUCACAAGGACAGCAACAUUUCCUUCCCUCAAUAGUGUCUUCAAGGUGCCUAUCAGACCCAAAAGGGUAUGUGGGAGCGGGGGGCUGGGAAACAGAGUAGAUAUUCAGUAUCAGGGAUACCAACUGUCCAUAAAUUUAUAAAUUUAUGGACAGUCUGAAAAAUCAAGUAAAAAACUCCUGUCCAUAAAGUCAGUAAGAAACUUCUGCCCACUAAAACUGGGAAGCCACCCGAGCAUCAAUCAAGCUCCAUGAUCAGAAAGAAGCUGUUGAAGUACAGAUGGAGCAUAGCAGCACCACCUGGUGUGCAGGAGCACCAGCACUGCCAGGUUAUCUAAACCCUUUGUUCCCAGCCUCCUCUCCCCAGUGGUGUGGGCAGACUGCUCUGUGGGAGCCUCCAGGGACUUUCAGUCUCCAAAGCAGGCAAGAAUCCCUGUCCCCCUCUUCUCCAUGCUCAGAGGCAAGUCUCCUGUCCUUCCCAUCUCCACCCCUUUAGCCCCUCCCCUGCCUACGACUGCUGGUUUCCCUAUUCUUCCAGGGGCGGGGGAAGCUUCAGAGCCCCUCCUGCCAGGCUGCAUGGAGGCUGGGUUCAGAUGGGGGCAGCAGCAGCAGUGGUCGUGUGCCUACUCCAGGGGACCAGGCAGGGAGGAAAAACCUGUUCAUAGUCACUGCUGCUGUUGCUGGCUUCAGGUGAUCCCAGGCCCUGCAUAUUGCAGCAGGAGUAUGCAGGAGUGGCUCUAGAGCACUCCUUGCCCCUGGGACAGGGAAAGCAGCAGCAGGCCAGGGAAGGGGCCAUGUUUUUGAGCACGGAGGGUUGAGCGUGGAGGGGGGAAAGGGAGAUUCCUGCUUUGGAGAAUUAAAAAGUUCCCAGUUGCUGGUCCUGCAGUGGAGUCCAAUCUGAAAGGGUGGGGGUGCAGCCUGCCACUGUACCCCAUCUGGAUUCUCCCCACUCAUCUCACAGGUAAGCAGCUAAUCAUUGGAAUCUGUGCCAGGAUGGGGAAGCAAGGCUAGUGGGGGCAAGGCUGGAGGCAUGAAUGCCGUGUGCCCUGCAGGUGGCGGCAGGAGUGUGGUGGCGGUAUGUGGGGAACUCCUGCAGGCAGCCGCGGUGCUGUUGGUGGUGGGGGGGAUGUGGUGAACGCUGACCUGCAGUCAGUGACCGCCCACAGACGUUUGACAGCAGUGGCCGGUGGCGAUCACGGAUUGCCCGCAGACGCUGCUGGUGCUAUUGGCAGUGAGGGAGGUGGGUGGCAAGCAUGGACAGCCUGAAGGUGCCAUCAGCAGUGUCAGUGGUGCCUUGUUGUAGGGGGUGCGCCGCCACACUCGGGAGGUGCACAUGCACCUGCAUGCACCCCCUACGUAUUGCCAA